GGAGGUGACAGGUCGGAGCGGAGGGUGAAGCCCUCUCCACCAAUCCCAAUCCCUGCGGUCAUUGCGGACUAAUCGGAGAGCGACAUUCGGCGGGGUGGGGUGGGACAAACGACGACCGCAAAGCCGGCCGCCAUUGGUCAGCCGGAGUAAGGUGCGCUCUGAUUGGAGGGGGCGCGGAUGACGCGCGUCACUGAAGGAGAAGACGGAAAGAAGAAGAAAAACAAAGAUGGCGGCGCGAGGCUGCGGUUUCUGACGGAGGGAGGGGGAGAGCAGACAGGCAUCGUUUACCUCAGAAAAUACCUUUAAAAUACAUUUCACAUUAAAGCCGGAAUUUUCCAAACUGAAGUUGUGAAGAAAGGAAACGGUCCCCGGUGGGGGUUUUAUUGUUCAUUUGUGUACAAUUCCCGGGAAGGGGGAGGUGACGGUUACCGGGUGAACGGGAGAAACAAAUUUAAAAUGUCGGCGGUGGAGGAGAGAGAGCCGGCGCCCGCGGCUCCCACUGCAGCGGGAGGUGGAGGAGCGGCGGCGGCGGCGGCGGGCGGGGGGUGAAGUCCGGCGGAGCACAAGCUGGAGGAGAGGCUGCACUCGGUGCUGUGCUGGACCGUGUCCCUGGAGCUGCCCGCGGCUUCACUCUACCAGUCUAAGGCUGUGCCCUUGGGUCCUAGUCUCUCCUACCAAUGGAAACAACUUUCCAACAUGAAUUCUAUCUGGGCAGUUCAGUAUCUUGCAGAUUUCAAUUGCAUCUUCUCUCAUCCUUCCAAACUCCAUCAGGUAUAGGCCCAGAGUCCUCAAACGUUCCUCAUAUGUUAAGCUUUUCAUUCCUGGGACCAUCCUCUUGAACCUCCUCCGAAUGUGUUCUAAGGCCAGUACAUCCUUGCUGAGAUAUGGGGCCCAAAACUGUGCACAAUACUCCAAAUGUGGCCUGACCAGAGCAUCAGAAGAACAUCCCUGCUUUUAUAUUCGUCUUGUCAAAAUAAAUGUCAUUGUUGCAUUUGCCUUCCGAACUCCUGACUCAGGAGAAAGUGAGGACUGCAGAUGCUUGAGAUCAGAGCUUUUCCAGCAACACAUUUUUUAACUCCUGACUCAACCUGCAUGUUUACCUUGAGACAAUCCUGGACUGGAACUCCCAAGUCUCUUUGCGGUUUGGAUUUCUUAAUUUUCUCCCCAUAAUCCUUCUGUUCCAAGGGCGAGGAUCUGGUGUCAGGGCAGCACCAGAGAUUUCUCGACACACAGAUUGUAUUUGGGGAUACCAAGGGAUCUGAGGAACUGCCAGUAUCUCAGGAAGAAUUGUUAUUCCUGGAGGAGGCAGAGAGGAAAAUGGUAUGGUCCUGUAAACUCCAGAACUUUCCUAACUUCACGAGUCAGCAAUAACUCUUCCUGGGCCAAGAAAUGAAAAGGCCAAUGAGAAACUGCUACAAAGGAGUUACAAAACAAAAUGCUAGUUAACCAUCCCUGGGAAAGAGGAGACAAAACAACAAGCUGUUUCUUGCGACAGACAAGAUAACUGUGUUUAAUAACCUCAUGACACAAGGACAAAUAAGUCUGCCUGUAGAAAGGAGGUCCUGACAUAAAGGGGUUAAUUGCAGGACAGGCUGUUUCAAACACACAGCUAACCCUCAAGGAUAAAAAGCCCUCUCAAGAUGAAUGACAACAUUGUGUCUGCCUUCCUAAUCACCGACUCAGCCUGCAAGCCCGCUCUGAGAGAGAAACCUGGACUGGGAUUUGCAAAUCCAUUGGCACUUCAGGUUUCUAAAGGGGAAGAAAUUCAGAAAAUAGUCCAUGCCUCUAUUCCUCCUACCCAAGUGCAGGAUGAGUUAGAGUGAAAGAUUUCAGCUGCUCCAGUAUUUUGCUAUUAUUUUGUUGUUGGCAUUUCUCACAUCACGGAGUCUGGAAGCACAGAUGCACCAACAAUGAGCUGCUUCAUACCAGGGGCAAGUGUUAGAUACAGAAGGCGAUUAGAAGGAUUGAUCUACAAUCAGGAGAUCUGGAUCAAAGAUCACAGCAAAGUCUGACAGAGUCAGUUCAUUUUAUCACAAUCUGAACAUCAUGACGUUUUGAACAUGAAAGGAAAAAACACCAUUCAAAGUGGAGAGAAACUCUAUACAUGUUGUGACAUCAGGCCUGGCAAGACAACUGGAAUCACAAGGAGAAAUGCUGGAAAUGUUCAGGACUGUGGAAAGGGAUUUAGAUUUCCAUCUGAAUUGGAAACUCAACAUCGCAGUCAUACUGGAAACCUUUCACUUGCUCUGAAUGUGGGAGGGGAUUUACAAAUUCUUCUGACCUGCAGACACCAGUAAAUUCACAUUGGCGAGAGACCAUUCACCUGCUGUCUGUGGGAAGGGAUUCACUGAUUCCUUCGACCUGCAGAUGUAUUCGCGGGUUGACAGUGGGGAGACCCUAUUCAUUUGCUCUCAACGUGGGAAGGGAUUCAGAGAUUCCUCCAUCUUAUGUCCCAUCAAUGUGUUCACACUUAUAGGGGACCAUUCACAUGCUCCCACUUUGGCAUGAGGUUCAGGUGUUUUGCUGACCUCAGCAGACACAAGUGGACCCACACACCAGAGAGACCUGCCAAGAAUAUAGGAAGGGGUUCACUCAGUCAGUCAUCUAGUCUGCUGACACCGGCGAAUUCACGCGCCAGAGAGGCCAUUCACCUGCUGUAAAUGUGGGAAAGGAUUCACUGAUUCAUCCAACCUCCGCACUCAUCAGCAAGAUCCCAGUGAUGAGAGACCAUUCAGAUGCUCCCACUGUGGGUCUUGCUUCAAAUGUUUAUUUGAACUCACCAGUCACCAGCAGACUCACAUUAGGGAGAGACCAUUCACCUGACCUUAGUGUGGGAAGCAGUUCACCCAGUUAUCCAGCCCACUGAGACACCAGGGAAACAGAUUUUACUUGCUCUGAGUGUGGAGAGGGUUUACUCAGCUAUCCAGGCUGCUGACACUGCAGGGAGUUCAUACUGACGAGCGAUUAUUUAAAUGCCCAGACUGUGGAAAGUGUCAAAGAUUCCAGGGCAUUGAUGUCCCAUCAAUGUAUUUACACUUAUGAGAGACCGUUAAGGUGCUCUUACUGCGGGACUGUAGUCACACGGUCAUUUCAAUACAUUAAACAUCAGCAAAUACACAUUUGGGGAGAGGCCAUUUAACUAAACAUGUCUGAAGGAAGGGAUUCAUUCUAUUAUCCAACAUGCUGAACCGUCAGUGAUUUCAUCAGUAAUGACAGUGUUUGGAUUUUGCUGUUAAUCUCAUACAAGAUGGAGCCUUGUUCACUAUGUCUGUAUUAAUGUUAAUGAACCCCAGCCCAGUUAUAGUUCAACUCACUGAAAUCAGUCAACUGAAAGUUGUUCACAAACAGCACCUGGGUAUUGCUGCAAACAGACGUAUGUUGCAGAUAUUUUCUCUUACAUUCAUCGGGAGAAUUUGUAAGAGUAUAAAUUUAACUACAGAACCAAUGUUUAUACUGUAUGAGAAAAGAGCAAGAGUACUCUGGUGGAGGCAUUGCCAUGAAGGAUGCUUCAGCUAACAAUGAUUGACAUUUAACUGCCAGGGGUUGAAAUGGGUGGAGUGCAUAUACAUGCCCUCUCUGUCCAUGAUGAACAGAAUUAAUGAUGUAUAUGUGGGCACAAAUUCAGGUUGACUUAUUUGAUCGUGCUAAUGUUUUAACGCAUCUGCAUAUGUACAGACUGCCUUAGACACAACUAAAGCAGUCUCCCUUUUAUGUUCUAUUUCAUUUUUGACCAGUUCUAUAUCACAUAAAGGUGCAUAAAGUGGUUGCACAAAUUGCUGCAACCAAUUGUCACCAAAUUUUCCAUUUCCACAGGGAAAACUUCUUCCCCUUUUGCAAAGCCCAUAUGUGAUGUCAGUAUAUCUAGUAAUGUAAUGACCAUGUGCUGAGUUGAUAUUGUGAGGCUAUUCACCAAUGAGCCAUCGGCAUCUGCACUGCAGCACCAGAUUGAGGUGUUCUUGACACAGCAGCACCGUAAGAAUCAGAAGUCAUUGAAUUUACAAGCUCGCAAAUUGGCAGGACCAAUUCUGGGUUUACCCUGUCAAACCUCUAAGAACCUGAAAUUUUCAGCCUGAUCUUCUGUCAUUCUUCUAAACUCCAAUGAGUACAGGCUCAGCCUGCUCCAUCUCCUCUCCAAAGGAUAUCCUCUCAUAUCCAGGAUCAAUCGCCUGAACAUUCUCGGAACUGCAUUUCUUAAAAAUAAGGAGACUAAAGCUGUUCACAGUAUUCCAAGUGUAAU